AGUCCGUACGAGCGCACCCUUAUCCUUAUUUGCCAGCACUUCGGGUGGGAACUCUAAGGAGACUGCCGGUGACAAACCGGAGGAAGGUGGGGACGACGUCAAGUCAUCAUGGCCCUUACGACCAGGGCUACACACGUGCUACAAUGGUAAGUACAAAGGGACGCGAAGCGGCGACGUGAAGCUAAUCCCAGAAAACUUAUCGUAGUCCGGAUUGGAGUCUGCAACUCGACUCCAUGAAGUCGGAAUCGCUAGUAAUCGUGAAUCAGAAUGUCACGGUGAAUACGCUCCCGGGCCUUGUACACACCGCCCGUCACACCAUGGGAGUGGAUUGCACCAGAAGUAGUUAGUCUAACCUUCGGGAGGACGAUUACCACGGUGUGGUUCAUGACUGGGGUGAAGUCGUAACAAGGUAGCCCUAGGGGAACCUGGGGCUGGAUCACCUCCUU
rnacentral:rRNA from 1 species